UUCCUCGAGAAGCUGCAGUGUGGGGAUGCUCUAGACCGAGUACUGCCCCCAGUGUCUUUCCACCUCUUUUUCCUGCAGCGGCGGCAGCAGCGCUUGGCAGCGGCAGCGCUUGGCAGCGGCAACUUGAGACUGCGCCCAGGGCAAGCCCCCCCAGGGUGGUGCUCAACUGAGAGGGGGGGCUCAGUGCCCGAAGGUGUGUGUGUAGGGUGGGGGCGGCCAGCUGGGACCAGCUGGUGGCCCUGGAAAACCUCCCACACACCCACACCCACACACCCCUUUUGUGUUGCAGGCUGCUCCUCCAAGAGCAGAGGCAGCAAGAGGACGUGUGUGCACCGGUCCGCACGGGGAAGCAGUAGGGACGGAGCCCGGCACCACCUCCUGGUUCUCCCUCCAGGAAACCAGGAAAACAAGAACUAGCAAGAGCUUGACAAACGCCUGGCUUUGAAUUGGAGACCAUUCGCCUGCCUAUUGCUUCAUUCCUGGAAAUUUCACUGCAACUAACUAAGG